GACGGAGGGUGCAAGCGUUAUUCGGAAUCAUUGGGCGUAAAGGGCGUGUAGGCGGCCGGUUAAGUCAGGCGUGAAAGCCCAGGGCUCAACCCUGGAAGUGCGCUUGAAACUGAUCGUCUUGAGUCCGGGAGAGGGAAGCGGAAUUCCUGGUGUAGAGGUGAAAUUCGUAGAUAUCAGGAGGAACACAGGUGGCGAAGGCGGCUUCCUGGACCGAGGCUGACGCUGAGACGCGAAAGCGUGGGGAGCAAACAGG
rnacentral:rRNA from 1 species